rnacentral:rRNA from 1 species
UACAGAGGGUGCGAGCGUUAAUCGGAAUUACUGGGCGUAAAGCGCACGUAGGCGGAUUUGUAAGUCAGGGGUGAAAUCCCGGGGCUCAACCUCGGAACUGCCUUUGAUACUGCAAAUCUCGAGUCCGAUAGAGGUGGGUGGAAUUCCUAGUGUAGAGGUGAAAUUCGUAGAUAUUAGGAAGAACACCGGUGGCGAAGGCGGCCCACUGGAUCGGUACUGACGCUGAGGUGCGAAAGCGUGGGGAGCAAACAGG